UGAGGAAGGUGGGGCUGGGUGAGGAGAUGGAGAAGAACAAUGGCCUGGAAGUGGCAAUUAAUCUCUUCAGUAAACAUUUACUAGACAAGACGCACAUUGGAAAAAGUCAGGAAGCUUUCUGAGCCUGUUUCUGGAAGACUUGAAAGACAAUGUGUAUCAAUGCACUUAGCAUACUUCUGGAAACAGGCCCGUGUCUUCCAAGUUCUCCUUUGUAGAGCUGUUUUGGGAGAGGCUGCACAUCCAGAUCUGAUGACAAGACACACAGUUCUGGCAAACAGACGCUGACGCCGAGGACUGAAGCACAUUCCGGUACUAACCUGAGUCUAUAAAGCUGUUUCUAUCCCCUCUUGAUCUCGGAACUUUCCUGUUUUCCGCAUCUGGCCUGCCAUCACCAAUGGACUUUCUCGCCCUUCAGCAUUUGGCGUGCCCGCCAAAGUUGAACAGAUACAGUGAACUUUAUUGGCCAGACAAGGACCCGUGGUGACCACCUGUUGGACAACAGCCCUUUAAGAACGAGCAGCAACCACCCUGGGUGUGA